rnacentral:rRNA from 1 species
ACGGAUUUCUUCGGAUUGAAGCCUUGGUGACUGAGCGGCGGACGGGUGAGUAACGCGUGGGUAACCUGCCUCAUACAGGGGGAUAACAGUUGGAAACGACUGCUAAUACCGCAUAAGACCACAGCACCGCAUGGUGCAGGGGUAAAAACUCCGGUGGUAUGAGAUGGGCCCGCGUCUGAUUAGGUAGUUGGUGCGGUAACGGCGCACCAAGCCGACGAUCAGUAGCCGACCUGAGAGGGUGACCGGCCACAUUGGGACUGAGACACGGCCCAAACUCC